CCUACGGGCGGCAGCAGUGGGGAAUAUUGGACAAUGGGGGCAACCCUGAUCCAGCCAUGCCGCGUGUGUGAAGAAGGCCCUCGGGUUGUAAAGCACUUUCAGUGAGGAAGAACGCCUGGUGGUUAAUACCCAUCAGGAAAGACAUCACUCACAGAAGAAGCACCGGCUAACUCCGUGCCAACAGCCGCGGUAAUACGGAGGGUGCGAGCGUUAAUCGGAAUUACUGGGCGUAAAGCGCGCGUAGGUGGCUUGAUAAGCCGGUUGUGAAAGCCCCGGGCUCAACCUGGGAACGGCAUCCGGAACUGUCAAGCUAGAGGGCAGGAGAGGAAGGUAGAAUUCCCGGUGGAGCGGUGAAAUGCGGAGAGAUCCGGAGGAAUACCCGUGGCGAAGGCGGCCUUCUUGACUGACCCUGACACUGGGGUGCGAAAGCGUGGGUAGCAAACAGGAUUAGAUACCCGAGUAGUC
rnacentral:rRNA from 1 species